AUUAUUUAAGUAAAAUACGUUAGAUUUUAGAUUUAAUAACACGGAAGUAUUCUUUUGUAGGUAAUA
rnacentral:tRNA from 1 species